rnacentral:rRNA from 1 species
UACGGGGGGAGCAAGCGUUGUUCGGAUUUACUGGGCGUAAAGGGCGCGUAGGCGGCCACCGCAAGUCGACUGUGAAAUCUCCGGGCUUAACCCGGAAAGGUCAGCCGAUACUGCGGGGCUAGAGUGCAGAAGGGGCAACUGGAAUUCUCGGUGUAGCGGUGAAAUGCGUAGAUAUCGAGAGGAACACCUGCGGCGAAGGCGGCUCACUGGCCCGAUACUGACGCUGAGGCACGAAAGCGUGGGGAGCAAACAGG